AAUAGAUACCCGGGUAGUCCACGCCGUAAACGAUGAGUGCUAAGUGUUAGAGGGUUUCCGCCCUUUAGUGCUGCAGCUAACGCAUUAAGCACUCCGCCUGGGGAGUACGGUCGCAAGACUGAAACUCAAAGGAAUUGACGGGGGCCCGCACAAGCGGUGGAGCAUGUGGUUUAAUUCGAAGCAACGCGAAGAACCUUACCAGGUCUUGACAUCCUCUGACAACUCUAGAGAUAGAGCGUUCCCCUUCGGGGGACAGAGUGACAGGUGGUGCAUGGUUGUCGUCAGCUCGUGUCGUGAGAUGUUGGGUUAAGUCCCGCAACGAGCGCAACCCUUGAUCUUAGUUGCCAGCAUUUAGUUGGGCACUCUAAGGUGACUGCCGGUGACAAACCGGAGGAAGUGGGGAUGACGUCAAAUCAUCAUGCCCCUUAUGACCUGAGCUACACACGUGCUGCAAUGGAUGGUACAAAGGGCUGCAAGACCGCGAGGUCAAGCCAAUCCCAUAAAACCAUUCUCAGUUCGGAUUG
rnacentral:rRNA from 1 species